UCAAAAAUUCAUUCAUUCAUUCUUCUUCAAGUCGUUUUCAAGAAAAGAAUGAAACACGCGCAAUACAUUCUUGAUCAAACCUCUGUGGAUGUUCGGUGGUUCGCUCAAUUAUCUUUAUUAUUUUCAACAUCAACAAACAUAAUCUCUUCUCUUUGCUACGAAAGAGCUUGUGAAGCGGUUAUAUCUUCUGCUUGCCGUAAAGGACUCUGAUGCUAAUGUUCCAAAAAAUCUAGAAGCCAGGGCAAAACCUGUUAGUGAAACAUUACCAUUCAGUGUUUUCACUCCAUACUAUAGUGAAACUGUGCUUUAUAGUACAUCUGAAUUGAAAUAGGAGAAUGAAGUUGGAAUUUCUAUUCUAUUCUAUCUUCAAAAGAUAUUUCCAGAUGAGUGGGUCCAUUUUCCUGAGAGAAUUGGUCGAGAUUCGUCUACUGAGGAUGCAGAACUUCAAGAAAAUUCUAGUGAUGCUUUGGAACUUCGCUUUUGGGCAUCUUAUCAAGGGCAGACUCUGGCUAGAACAGUGCGUGGUAUGAUGUAUUACAGGAGGGCUUUGAUGCUGCAGAGCUUUCUGGAGAGCAGAUCACCGGGUGGUAGUUAAAUAAAAACAUUAUUCUAAUUAAGCUUGGCAUGUAUAUUUGCUGACAUCGGCUGUAUCAACAGUGGACAAGUAUUCUCAGAACAACUUCAUUACAAUUAUACCUAGGAACAUGAAGAAGAUGAUAAAUGUAGUGAUUCAUGGAAACGUUAUAAUUGAAGGUAGUACUUCAAAAGAAGGUCAUUGUUCUCUGCAAUGGUGUGGAAGGAAUAUAUUUUCCAAGCCUUGACUUACCACAUUGGGUCACUCAUUCCUGGAAUUGAAAAGGCAUUAAAUGACAAAUCAUCUACCUCAAUUUUGAAGCCCUGAUAUUCUUGUUCGUUAUGAUCAUACUCUUCUUGUUGCUGAUCAUAGACGCUGUGAGCCUAAGAAGUUUGGUGGUCGUGUUACUCAGGCUAGGUUCCAGAAAUCUUACCGUUAAAUUGUUUUUGGUAUUAUUCAGAUGUUAUUGUGUUUAUGUUUUUCAAUUACUCUUUAAAAUUUCUAUGCACUGUUUAAAUUGAAGGUUUGAUGGUUUUGAAAAAAAAAAUAAAAAAUGAAAUGAUCAAACGGCUGAGCAGAGAGAUUUUUUCAAUACUCUCUUUCAUUCAUUCUUCUCAUCAUGCUGCAUCUGCAUGUCUACUUGAAUUGUUACUAAUUUGAAAUACCGUGUUUCAUAUCGAGAUUUAGGUCACUCGUUCUCUGAUAAAUUUUGAACUCACUGGAUUUUAUAAUAUCAGCAUAACUGACCUUUGUUUAGUUUACUGUGCUGGGUUAUACAGGGAUCAUAUUAUGAUAAUUCCAACUUCCAUUGCAAUUGUGGUGAUCCCGAAUCUCUGUUCAUUCCUGGUGAGUUAAUUGAAGUUACUACUUGCAACCAUUCAUUGAUACAAGGAAAUUGUCUUUUUGGUAUAUAAUAUAUAAGGAAAUAGUCUUUCUGGUAUAUAAUAAGAGUCUGUUUGGAUAGACUUAUUUGAACUUAUCUACUAGCAUAAACACUUGUAAGUCUGUUUGAGACAGUUUAAAGAAACAUUUUCAUUGCUUUCAUGAUAAUGAUAUCAAUGCAGUAUAGCAUAUUUAAGCAUGUAGGUACUCUUCUGUUAUAUUUUUUUCUUAUGCACAAAAAUAAUUUGGCAACAUAUAAAAUUGUUACUAUAAAUUAAGAAGAUACUAACUUCUUUCCUUCCUUUUUAUUAUUCUAUUGGGGACAAAAUCUGACUUUGUUGUAUGAUCGAGUCCUAAAAUACCCCGAUCAUGUCUGAUAUUUGUAUUUCACUUUUCUCUUUGUCCAGCGAGCAGUAACCAAAGUGAGUAUAAUUUGCCCUGAUUUUAAUUGAUUGAUCUUGAUAUAUACUUUACUUCUUUUAGAACUUUCAGUUAAGAAGUGUUCAUGAUGCAACCUAUGUUUCACUUUAGGCUGCAGAUUAUCUCGAGCAGGCUGAGUACACAUUUUUAGGAGUGAAAGAGAAGCAUAAUAAAACUGCACCAGGUAAUUCUUUGUCAUCAUUUAUCUUUCCUGCAAAUAGAAUGGUUACAAAUCAGAGCUUAUUCAAAUAACGCAGGAAAAUGACAUUAAACCGGACAAAGUUUGAUAAAAAUAGUUAGUGGAAGAAUUUCCUCCGUUCUAUUGAAGGAACUACUCACUUUCUAGUUCAUAUUAAAGCACUGUUUCGCUCAGAUUUCAGCAAAAUCUGAAUAUAUUGAUUUUUUCCUUCAUUUUAUGCAUGUAUGUAUGGCAGAUUAAAGAAACAUAACCCAAGCCAUUUUUUUACACAAUCUGAUCUGAAUUCCUUCUCACGAGUAUUUUUGAAGGAAAAAAACACAAUGGACAGCCAAUACAACCAUACCUGAAGAGAAGAUAGCCUGUGGAAAUUCAUCCACCAACUUUUCAAUUUUACUUCCUGCAACUCUUUUCCCCUUGACUAACCUUCGACGAUUUCUAAAGUAAAUGAAUGGAAAAUUAUCAAAUUUAAUCAUAGCAUCACAUUCAGAAAAUCAGUAAAUUGAUUGUAGGAUCAUUAAGUUUUUAUGAAGAGUGUCACCUGUCAUUUUACAAGCCACAAUUGUGAAAGAAUAAUAUUGUACCUUGGAGUAAUGUCUCUAUUAUGGCUUGUAAGUUGAGGUGCCACUCUUUACAAACACAUUUAAGGCCUUAUCUCUAUUCAAUGUGGGACUUGUGUUUUUCCUAAUAUGGAUAUAAUGAUUACAUGUGUUCAUAUGUUAUAAUCUUGACGUGAAAAUCUCUUAAUUUACAAAUAAGCAAUCAAGUACUAGAGCACUCUCUUGAUGCUGCACUGAAGGCAAUUACAGUGAAUGUGUAAGCAAACACGUGUCAAUUUGUAUUCUUUGUAUAUCAAGCUUUCUUCUAACUUUUAAUCUGACAGACCUCCACCUGUAAAAGUAGGUGCCUGCAGGGCAUUUGCUCAACUUCUACCUAAAGCAAAGAAAGUAAUUGUCCAACCACAGUUAUUCGGUUUAUUUUCAUCCCUCACGGAUCUUCUUAAUCAUGCAUCAUAUGGUUUCCUUGGAUACGGUACUUGAAACGUUGCAAGAAGCAGUAAAGGCAGGUUAGGAAUAUCUUUCUCUGGUGUGUAUGUGUGUGUGUAUUUCUGGUCUAGUUAUACUUCCACACAUAUAUGUUAAUGUUAAAUAUUUCUAUGGAAAUUACUAAUUUACUCUUCUAUCCCCACACAAUUGUGAUACAAUUAACUGUUUGGUUCAAAUGCUCGCUGAGAAAUUUCGCAUUUUCAUUCAAUAACCAAGGUAUGGUAUAUUAGGAGUUGCAACUUUUGAUAUCGUUGCAUUAAAUAUUUCAUUUUCAUUCUCGAAGCUGAUCAAAUGUGUGUUAUUUGAUAAUGAUGCAGAGGCUGUUUUUUCUCAAACUAAACCUAUUGCUACAUCAGUAAAGGAUGGUUUUAAUGUUUGUAUAUUUGCUUAUGGGCAAACUAGAACUAGUAAAACAUUUACAAUGGAGGGAACACCAGAAGAGAGGGGAGUUAAUUACCGAACACUUGAAGAAUUGUUUAGGAUAUCCGAAGAGAGAAAGGGUGUAAUGAAGUAUGACUUACAUGUUAGUAUGUUGGAGGUUUACAAUGAGAAUAUAAGAGAUCUUCUAGUGGAAAACUCUACCCAGCCUACUAAGAAGUGAGUUUUAAUUCUUCUUAAUCUAAUUAGCACUGUAGUUUUUAGGUCCUUUAUUUUAAAUUUCAAAAUUGAUAGUCAUUUCAUAUGUUCUUAACAAAAACCAAAUUUGAGAAAGCCGAUUGGUUAUUGCUAGGCUGGAUAAUGAGUCUGUAAGAAAUGUGCACUAUUUUAGUGUGACAAUUUUCUCGACUAAUUUAACCUUAACAAUUUGGUCAUUUUUUAAAUUUAAAUUUGCAUCACAAUUAAAGGUAAAAAAACUAACUACCAAGUUUUGUUGAUUAUUUUUCUGGAUACUAUUCGUGGAUUACUAUUGCACUAAAAUUUAGGUGUGUUUUGACACAACAAUGCUACUUUUUAGUUGUCUCAGUAUGGAUAUAUUGCAAAUUCUUCUUUCCAUAACUGUGACAUACUCAAUUCGUGUAACUCAUCUUCAUAUGCCGAGUACAAGAUAUCUUACCCAAUAUUACUUACAUUCCUUGGAUAAUGAACACUAAAUGACUUGGAGCAGCUCCAGCGGGAGGUAUUUCAUAAUAAGUCCGCCAGCAUGUCACCCCAAAAACUCAACUUUUUCUCAUUUCUUUUGCUGGAGUCCGCACAUCAAAUGAACGGAAAGGAAGCAUCUCAGAACAUUUUGGCACCUGGUGUUGCUGAUCAUCAUGGGCACUGGCUUAGCUGCAAGCUAGAUAUAAACAACUGCUCUUCUAAUCAGCUUGAUCCAAUGCAAGGGAAAUAAUGGUAACUUUUGGGAUUUUAUGACUUCCAAAUUCACAAGUGCCGUGAUGAAUCAAGGUGUGCUAAUUAGACUCUGAUGAUCUUCUGCCGCUACUACCUGAUAUGAGUCCUUUCGGUCAUGAUAUAAUUUUAUCCAGUUGGCGAGCUCAAUUGAGUAAUAAUGGUUCAAACCCUUCCUUGUUUAGAGCAGUCUAUAAUGCAUCUGGAUGGCCAUAGCCAUGGUUUAUCGAAGUCCGCACAUCAAAUGAACGGAAAGGAAAAUUUUGCUCGAAGGAAUUCAAUGACAACAAACACAUAGAAAGCCUUGCAAGACCAAUAAGCAGGGUAUCCAUUGCUAUGAGACCACCACCUGUACAAUCAACAACACAGGUUGUUUUGUUAUUUCUUUUUCCCUUUCCACCUGUUUUCUUUCUUGGAUAUAGAAUUUAGGGAAAAUGUAAUUGACCUCCCCUGAAGUUUCCUUAAACAACAGAGACACCCCCUCUAGUUUUCAUAAAACACUCACCUCCCCUCAUUUUUAACACCGUCAAACUACUGUUAGGUAAAGAUUAAAAAAAACUGUUUUAUUGUUGUUUCUUCCGAAAUUGAUCUGUGCUUCUCUCUAUCACUCAACCGUAUCUUAAGCUCUCUACAGAUCAAAAUCUUAUAGGAAAAUCAAAUAUGCUGGCCGAUGUGAAUUUCUAAUGAGAGCAUUUAGGGAUUUGAAAAGUUAGGAAUUUGAAGAGAAAGAAAGCAUUUAGUUUAGCCAAAAUUCAGAUUGAAUAAAUAAAAUAGUCAAAAUAUUAUUAGUGCUUUUUUUUUCUUCCUAUUCUUUGUGCACCGACAAUGUAUUGCCCACUGUUUCAUGUUCCAGUAUGUUAGUAGUUCCUGCAUUGUGCUUUGUUAGAUUUUCUUUCAAACAUGAUUAUUUAUCAUUUAGCGUAUUAAAAAAAUGGAAACCCGUCUUAGAAUAGCAGUUUCAUAAAAUGUUGAAGAAAAUAGAACGAGUGCAACAGUUGAAGAAAAAAUGUUGACCAAUAAGUAAAAGAACUCAGUUUGUGUGAGCAAAAGUGAAGGAGUUAAGGUGAAAGGGAGGUGUUUGUCUAUUUGAUAGAAAAAUAUGGGAGGUUAGUGAUCACUUAAAAACUAGAGGGGGUGUUUGUGUUAUUUAAAAAGACCUCAGGGGAGGUUAGUGUAAUUUGCCCUAAAAUUUAUUACAUUUCAUCUUCCUGCUCAUAAACCAUGUUUGGAUAUAAUAUCUACUCAGAGUCUCUGACCUCUAAAUUAUUACUUAGCUUUUUUCAUGUCUAAUAUGUUACUGGAAGUUCUACGAUGGAUCAGACAUAGUUCAGGAGUUUGGAACUCCAAACAUCAGAACAAUUGAGCGACUACAUUUAUAAAACAUUGAACAGUGGCCAGGGUUUAGGGAGAUCAUGGCGACACUUUCUAGGAUUGGCUUAUUCAAUAAUGAAGCUCACCCGAUUCUAAAGAAUGAAGAGAGACCAACCUUUAAAAAAUUCAUGUUUGACCUUCUGAAAAUUGUUCAUGAAGAUCCUAGAAAGGAUAUCAACACUAGGACAUUGCAAAGAUCAAAGAUCUGCGAUGAUGACAGCAAAAACAAUCAUAUUUUUGGGACUAGUUGAUCAAACAGAAAUCCCUACUUCCUGCAAAAAUGCUUUUGAUGUUGCAUGUUUCCGCAUGGAGGAGAGAUUAUCCUACUCCAACACAGAAGGGUAUAUUACUUUGAUGAAUCCAUAUGGAAUUAGGAUGUGAUCUAACUAAAAUCUCUCUUGAUUUCAUACUUACUUUCAGUGCAUAGCUAACAAAGGCAUAUGAGACUGUUAAUGUUGUUUUUGAUGUUUCAAAAGCUGUUAAUAUGACACAAUCUAUGAAAGUUGUUUGUGAGAUAGAAGGUGGUAGAGGUCCUAGUAUGUGGGAUGGGAUGCCUUUACACACACAAAAGGGACAUUUAAAAUGUGCUGCCUUUGUUGUUCUAUCUCUGUAUAAUGAUGCAAGAUAAUCUCUUGGCCAAUUUUGAAAGCUGAUCUAACUACUAAUUGUUAUCAAAUAAUCAGUGACUAAACCCCUUCCUUUCAUGGGAGUCAAGGAGAACAUGGUGUUAUUGGAUCGGCGAGAAGAAUUCCUUUAAAUGAUAUUGCUAACGUUGGUUCUUCAUCUUUGAAAAAAACCAGCAAAAUCAUCACAGACAACAAGUUCGUUGAAGACAGGGAAAUAUACAGUACAUAAUGGUACAUUUAUUAAUCGUGCAAGAUGUUCACUAAGAGCUUCGUUUAGGCGGAAUGUGGAAUCUAUCAAACCACGUCAUAUUGCAUUCCAAGGCCAAAAGAGAUGAAGAAAUUGGCCUUAAAGUUCGUUUAAGAGUGCAAAAGAGCAAGGUAGCCACAAUAUUACCGACGGACAAAAGCAGUAAAGGCCACCCAAAGGGCACUACACUCUGGCAAGAUUGUGAAGAAGCCUCAAAAGAAAUCUAAUAAACCCAAUCCUUCGCGAAAGCCUUCCUCUUCAAGGACAGAAGAAAUGCGGGUGCUAUUCCAGACUGACAUGAAGGAUAAAAAGCCGAAACAGAGAGGUUCUGGAACAGGAAAGAAGGCGAAGCAAUCAUUCAAAAGCAAGUCAAGGGACAAUGAUUUGCACAGGUUACUUUUUAUGCCUAAUGGCCUACCAGACGGUGCUGAGUUGGCUUACUAUGUCAAAGGACACGUGUGUAAGACCCGUAAUUUCACAGUUUAUUUUGUGUAAGGAGAAUAAAUAUUGGAUAAAAGUUUUAGGGUUUGUUUAAGUCGUUUUGUAUGUAUCGUUGUAAUAACGGCAUUUUUGGCUGAGUUUAAGUCUGUUUUGUGCUCGUGCGCUGAAAAGGCACAGACUUUUGGGCUGUAAUCCUCUUUUAUGUAUGAGAAGGUUUAUGCAAAUUCAGAA